UUGAUCCUGGCUCAGAAUGAACGCUGGCGGCGUGCUUAACACAUGCAAGUCGCACGAGAACACCUCAGCUUGCUGAGGUAAGUAAAGUGGCGCACGGGUGAGUAACGCGUGGGUAAUCUGUCCCUGGGUUCGGGAUAACUCCGCGAAAGCGGGGCUAAUACCGGAUGACAUCAUUGAGGCUUUGGUUUCAAUGAUUAAAGGUGGCCUCUCCAUGGAAGCUAUUGCUUGGGGGUGAGCCCGCGUACCAUUAGCUGGUUGGUAGGGUAAUGGCCUACCAAGGCGACGAUGGUUAGCUGGUCUGAGAGGAUGAUCGGCCACACUGGAACCGACACACGGUCCAGACUCCUACGGGAGGCAGCAGUGAGGAAUUUUGCGCAAUGGGGGGAACCCUGACGCAGCAACGCCGCGUGAGUGAUGAAGGCCUUCGGGUCGUAAAGCUCUGUCAAGUGGGAAGAAUCCAUCCUGGCCCAACACGUUGGGGUGUUGACGGUACCACUGAAGGAAGCACCGGCUAACUCCGUGCCAGCAGCCGCGGUAAUACGGAGGGUGCAAGCGUUAUUCGGAAUUAUUGGGCGUAAAGGGCGCGUAGGCGGACAGGCAAGUCAGAUGCGAAAUCCCGGGGCUUAACCCCGGAAGUGCAUCUGAAACUGCUUGGCUUGAGUAUGGGAGACGGAAGUGGAAUUCCUGGUGUACGCGGUGAAAUGCGUAGAUAUCAGGACGAACACCGGUGGCGAACGCGGCUUCUGGACCAAUAAUGACGCUGAAGCGC
rnacentral:rRNA from 1 species